AGGCCAUCCUUGGACAAAGUCUCCAUGAUCUCCUGGGAGAGUCCUUCCUCCAAGAAGUCUUGUGCCAGAGGGCAGUUCUUGACUUCGGCCAUGUCCGAGAGAGGAGGUGGCAGGGGUCUGUGCUGGUCACCUGAGCGCAAACGCUGGUGUGCUCGUCGGGAGGCCACGGAGGGUCCACAUUCGCGAGCUCACGAGAGGUGAGCUGCAUCCUGACUGGGUGGCGGAGGCCCGGACUGAGCCACGCAGCCACCACGCUGUGGUCUCUGACUCAGGGGCCCUUCUCAUGUUAAUGACCCGACCGUGAGGAAAGUGUCCCGCGCCCCAGGGAAGGCCCCUGCCUCUGCCUUUUCCCACUGGGGACACGUCAACCGGCGUGACACCCUCGCUGCCUAACCUGUUCCCUCUAGAGGAACUGUGGCCUAGGAGAGAACGGAACAAAUGCUCUUGGCUGCAUUAAGGCCUGCAUUAUUAGCAGAUGUGGCCAUCUGCUGUGCCCUCCGGGACAGACUUGUACAAACACAGGGUGAAACAGACUGGGGAUGUGUGGUGCUCAAAGGGCACAGGACAUGAAGGUGGAGAGACUGACUCAGGGCACCAGGACAGCCACAUGCCGAACACUGAGGUAGACAAGACGAGGGCCCCAACCCUGCCGGGACGAGGGGACAGAAGCCAGCGCGUGGCAGAGGGGCAAGAUGUCUAGGCAGACGUUUGGGGUCCGGAUGGAAGUUCCAAAGACGGAGGGCAGACGAAGGGCCCUGUCCCACCAGCCCCUGCCCCGCCCACUCACCGAGGCCCUCUGAUUCUGGGUUUUCUCUGACCACGGCCUCCAGCUCUUCGCCCCCAUCUGGACAGGAGGUUAGUUUGGGUUUGCAGGGGUCUGCAGGGAGAGAAGAGUGCUGUCAUCUACCAGGACACGGCAGGCCAGCCGACUGCUUAGCGGGAACCUGCUGGCUGUCCUGACCAUCAGUGCUUUGUCCAGUGUACAGCUCGUGAGAGCCAAAUGCCGCUCUGGGCGACUCCGGGGACACCUGCCCCGUAGGGUUCCCAGUCCGGUGGAGGAGAGAGACCCAGACAGUCACAGUCCAGGGUGAUGAGAGCUGUGAAAGCCAGGGCCGGGGAUACCAAGGACUUGCAACAGCUCUUGAGGGAUGAGCAGCCUGCCAGGUGGAGAGGCACGCACCCUCUCAUCCACCCACGGAGCCCACAUCGCCCAAGGCCUCUGUGGAAUAUGCCGGGUUCCCAGAGCCCAGGCGGUCCUGUGCCCUGCCCUCGGCAAACUACUCGAGGAAGGAAGCAGAAUCCUAAUCCCGGGGGAACUGUGCUACCGUGGAGGAAAAGCGCCUUCUUGGCUUGAAAAUGGAAGGGCCACGAGCCAAGCAAUGCAGGCGCCUCUAGAAGCCAGAAAAGGGCAAAGGCACAAGACUCUUCCCCGGAGCUUCCAGAGGGAACAAGCCCUGCCAACAGCCUGACCGCAGCCGGGUCAGACCCGUUUCAGACUUCUGACCUCCACAACCGUCAGAGAAUAAACGCGUUGUUUUAA